rnacentral:rRNA from 1 species
AGAGUUGAUCAUGGCUCAGAACGAACGCUGGCGGCAGGCUUAACACAUGCAAGUCGAACGCACCGCAAGGUGAGUGGCAGACGGGUGAGUAACGCGUGGGAACCUUCCCUUUGGUACGGAAUAACUUCGGGAAACCGAAGCUAAUACCGUAUAUCUCCUCCGGGAGAAAGAUUUAUCGCCAAAAGGAUGGGCCCGCGUUGGAUUAGCUAGUUGGUAGGGUAAUGGCCUACCAAGGCAACGAUCCAUAGCUGGUCUGAGAGGAUGAUCAGCCACACUGGGACUGAGACACGGCCCAGACUCCUACGGGAGGCAGCAGGUGGGGAAUAUUGGACAAGUGGGCGAAAGCCCUGAUCCAGCCAUGCCGCGUGAGUGAAGAAGGCCUUAGGGUUGUAAAGCUCUUUUGGCGGGGACGAUAAUGACGGUACCCGCAGAAUAAGCCCCGGCUAACUUCGUGCCAGCCGCCGC